rnacentral:tRNA from 1 species
GGACGGUAAGCACAUGAGGAUGUGCGAACGGCUGUUAACCGUGAGGCAGUGGGUUCGAAUCCCACACCGUCCGCCA